UUCGAUCAAAGGGAGCCCAUAUAAACCAAAACAAAAAAACAACCACAUCCAACUAUUUUGACCUAAGUCUACAACGCAGAGUUAAAAAGGCAAUGCAAUGGAGGGAGUCUGUAUACACUUGCCCCCCUUUCAACUACCUGUCUUUAUCCACAAUCUCCAUCACCCAAAGAAGUAUGCUUCAACGCUUUGCCUCCCACUAAGAAGUCUUUUAGAUUCUCCCUUAUUACGCUAUUUUGCAGCUCUACCACCUACGAUUGAUUAGGCGCACAUGUCUUUCUCCAAAGGUAAGCAACCAGCAACAAGUGGUCAAAGUCACCACCAAGAAGACUGUCUAUGUUUUUUAAAGCAAGAAAUCAGGCCAAGCUUUUUCAAACUGUUGUACGCUGUUGAACAGUCCCUUCC